rnacentral:rRNA from 1 species
AUUGAACGCUGGCGGUAUGCUUAACACAUGCAAGUCGAACGGUAACAGGCAAAGCUUGCUUUGCGCUGACGAGUGGCGGACGGGUGAGUAACGCGUGGGAAUCUACCUUUUAGUGGGGGAUAGCCCGGAGAAAUCCGGAUUAAUACCGCAUAAGCCCUACGGGGGAAAGCUGGGGAUCUUCGGACCUGGCGCUAUUAGAUGAGCCCGCGUUAGAUUAGCUAGUUGGUGGGGUAAAGGCCUACCAAGGCGACGAUCUAUAGCUGGUCUGAGAGGACGAUCAGCCACACUGGGACUGAGACACGGCCCAGACUCCUACGGGAGGCAGCAGUGGGGAAUAUUGCACAAUGGGCGCAAGCCUGAUGCAGCAAUACCGCGUGUGGAAGAAGGCCUGCGGGUUGUAAAGCACUUUCAAUCGUGA